rnacentral:tRNA from 2 species
GGAGGGGUAUCGAAGUGGUCAUAACGGGGCUGACUCGAAAUCAGUUUGUCGGAAACGGCACGCGGGUUCGAAUCCCGCCCCCUCCGCCA